UGAAGCAAAAAACUGACGUCAAACUCCAAAGCGCUCUGUAUCUUUAUGUUUGGCACGUGAAUACCGUACUGUUUGUAUCGUGUGAAAUACUUAGGUUGCUUUUAAUUAGAUGAGUGAUAAUCUGGCGAUUGUGGUUCUCAUUUCAAGUGUAACAAUUUACUGCAUGACUAAUUCUUCUGAAAAAAUGAAAUUGUCAGCGACAAUCUGGAGGGCUGAGCAAACUGUUAAAUGACGGCAGUUUAUUCCACAAAUGACACCAAUGGGUUUUUCAGAGAAAAAGAUUUGUAUGCUCUUCCUAGUCUGACCAAAUUCUUGGGGUAAUUUUUUUCUGUGUGUUUUGUACCCAUAUUUCCUUCCUCUUUCCCUAGAUCUGGCCAUGGAGAGCUGUUGGUGGCUAAAGAUUUGGACAUCUGGUCCCAGUGGCAUCCCUUCCUCCUGCAGGCGUGCUGCUUUAGUAAAACCCUGCUUCUCCUCUGUCACUGGUUUGCACAGUACUGAAUUCUCACCCAGGAGCUGGGCAGCUCUGGGCAAGCUGGCUGGCUGA
rnacentral:lncRNA from 1 species